rnacentral:piRNA from 1 species
UCUUAUGGAGUCGAAUGCAGGGUUGAUCC